AGACUCUGUGCGCGUGCAUAUCAAUAAGCGGAGGAAAAGAAACUAACUAAGGAUUCCCUCAGUAACGGCGAGUGAAGCGGGAAGAGCUCAAAUUUGAAAUCUUCAAGGUUUCUACCUUGACGAAUUGUAGUUUAAAGAAGUGUUUUCUGUUGGAGUUUUGGUAAAAGUUCUUUGGAAUAGGACAUCAUAGAGGGUGAGAAUCCCGUAUUUGACCAUUAUUUCCAGACUGUGUGAUACACUUUCAAAGAGUCGGAUUGUUUGGGAAUGCAGUCCAAAAUGGGUGGUAAAUUUCAUCUAAAGCUAAAUACUGGCGAGAGACCGAUAGCGAACAAGUACCGUGAGGGAAAGAUGAAAAGAACUUUGAAAAGAGAGUUAAACAGUACGUGAAAUUGUCAAAAGGGAAGCGUUUGACACCAGUGUUGUUUUCUCGAAAAUCAAUUAAAAAUGAUGGGAUGUUUGUGUUGUAUUGACUUUAUCAGCUUUCUGCACUCUUUUUCCUAUCUUUUUUAAUGCACUUUUCGUUUAACAAGUCAACAUCAAUUUCUUUUGUUGUAAAAGAGUCAUUGGAAGGUGGCUUUCUUUUCGGAGAAAGUGUUUAUAGCCUUUGGCUUCUGCAAUCGGAGAGAUUGAGGUCUGCAGCGUAGAUCCUUCGGGGUUAGAUACGUUUGUGCUAAGUUAUAGCCUUUCAUAGACAACUUGUUGACUAUGAUCAGUCAUGUAGCUUACUCGCUUAUGCGCAUUUUACCUACGCUUAGGAUGUUGAACUCUAUCACACACAG
rnacentral:rRNA from 1 species